rnacentral:ncRNA from 1 species
UUAAGAGUUUUGACGAAAAAUUAGUAAGCUAUACUUUACAGAAAGUUCAUAUUGGGAUGAGAAUGAACAUUGAUAUAGCUGAAUUCAUUUUCCGAGCUAAUGUUGGGAGUCAAUUUUGGCAAAAAACAUUUCGGUUCGUCCACCGUUAUAGGACUUUAAGUUGUAUACGAUUGUUGUAUAAACUAGGGUGGUACCGCGAUGCUUCGUCCCUUUU